rnacentral:sRNA from 2 species
ACGUACUUCAGUACGCUGCGGUUCCUGCGCGCUGGCCGGACACGGCUGAGGCCUGCUCGCUACGCCCUCUGAGCC